rnacentral:rRNA from 1 species
UACGUAGGGUGCGAGCGUUGUCCGGAAUUAUUGGGCGUAAAGAGCUCGUAGGCGGUUCGUCGCUUCGAAUGUGAAAACCCGGGGCUCAACUCCGGGCCUGCAUUCGAUACGGGCGGACUAGAGUUCGGUAGGGGAGACUGGAAUUCCUGGUGUAGCGGUGAAAUGCGCAGAUAUCAGGAGGAACACCGGUGGCGAAGGCGGGUCUCUGGGCCGAUACUGACGCUGAGGAGCGAAAGCGUGGGGAGCGAACAGG